rnacentral:rRNA from 1 species
AUUGAACGCUGGCGGCAUGCUUUACACAUGCAAGUCGAACGGUAGCAGGGUGCUUGCACCGCUGACGAGUGGCGAACGGGUGAGUAAUGCGUCGGGACGCACCGAGUAAUGGGGGAUAACGCAGCGAAAGCUGUGCUAAUACCGCAUACGCUCUGAGGAGGAAAGCGGGGGACCUUCGGGCCUCGCGUUAUUCGAGCGGCCGACGUCUGAUUAGCUAGUAGGUGAGGUAAGAGCUCACCUAGGCGACGAUCAGUAGCGGGUCUGAGAGGAUGACCCGCCACACUGGGACUGAGACACGGCCCAGACUCCUACGGGAGGCAGCAGUGGGGAAUUUUGGACAAUGGGCGAAAGCCUGAUCCAGCCAUGCCGCGUGUCUGAAGAAGGCCUUCGGGUUGUAAAGGACUUUUGUCAGGGAGGAAAUCCCUAGCGUUAAUACCGCUGGGGGAUGACAGUACCUGAAGAAUAAGCACCGGCUAACUCCGUGCCAGCCGCCGCGGUAA